rnacentral:rRNA from 1 species
CGUAGGGUGCGAGCGUUAAUCGGAAUUACUGGGCGUAAAGCGUGCGCAGGCGGUUGGCAAAGUCAGCUGUGAAAGCCCCGGGCUUAACCUGGGAAUGGCGGUUGAAACUAGUCGACUCGAAUCUGGCAGAGGGGGGUGGAAUUCCACGUGUAGCAGUGAAAUGCGUAGAGAUGUGGAGGAACACCGAUGGCGAAGGCAGCCCCCUGGGCUGAGAUUGACGCUCAGGCACGAAAGCGUGGGGAGCAAACAGGAUUAGAUACCCUGGUAGUCCACGCCCUAAACGAUGUCAACUAGGUGUUGGAGGAGCAAUCCUUUGGUACCGCAGCUAACGCGUGAAGUUGACCGCCUGGGGAGUACGGUCGCAAGAUUA